GGCAGUGGAGCAGCUACCAUGCAGUCGAGCGGUAGCACAGAGAGCUUGCUCUCGGGUGACGAGCGGCGGACGGGUGAGUAAUGUCUGGGAAACUGCCUGAUGGAGGGGGAUAACUACUGGAAACGGUAGCUAAUACCGCAUAACGUCGCAAGACCAAAGAGGGGGACCUUCGGGCCUCUUGCCAUCAGAUGUGCCCAGAUGGGAUUAGCUAGUAGGUGGGGUAACGGCUCACCUAGGCGACGAUCCCUAGCUGGUCUGAGAGGAUGACCAGCCACACUGGAACUGAGACACGGUCCAGACUCCUACGGGAGGCAGCAGUGGGGAAUAUUGCACAAUGGGCGCAAGCCUGAUGCAGCCAUGCCGCGUGUAUGAAGAAGGCCUUCGGGUUGUAAAGUACUUUCAGCGGGGAGGAAGGUGCUGAGGUUAAUAACCUCAGCAAUUGACGUUACCCGCAGAAGAAGCACCGGCUAACUCCGUGCCAGCAGCCGCGGUAAUACGGAGGGUGCAAGCGUUAAUCGGAAUUACUGGGCGUAAAGCGCACGCAGGCGGUCUGUCAAGUCGGAUGUGAAAUCCCCGGGCUCAACCUGGGAACUGCAUUCGAAACUGGCAGGCUAGAGUCUUGUAGAGGGGGGUAGAAUUCCAGGUGUAGCGGUGAAAUGCGUAGAGAUCUGGAGGAAUACCGGUGGCGAAGGCGGCCCCCUGGACAAAGACUGACGCUCAGGUGCGAAAGCGUGGGGAGCAAACAGGAUUAGAUACCCUGGUAGUCCACGCCGUAACGAUGUCGACUUGGAGGUUGUGCCCUUGAGGCGUGGCUUCCGGAGCUAACGCGUUAAGUCGACCGCCUGGGGAGUACGGCCGCAAGGUUAAAACUCAAAUGAAUUGACGGGGGCCCGCACAAGCGGUGGAGCAUGUGGUUUAAUUCGAUGCAACGCGAGAACCUUACCUACUCUUGACAUCCAGAGAACUUACCAGAGAUGCUUUGGUGCCUUCGGGAACUCUGAGACAGGUGCUGCAUGCUGUCGUCAGCUCGUGUGUGAAAUGUUGGGUUAAGUCCCGCAACGAGCGCACCCUUAUCCUUUGUUGC
rnacentral:rRNA from 1 species